UCUGGUGAUUAUGGCGAGGGUGUUAUACCCGUUCCCUUUCCGAACACGGAAGUCAAGCCCCUUUGCGCCGAUGAUACUACAUCUCCAAGGUGUGGGAAAGUAGGUCGUUGCCAGAC
rnacentral:rRNA from 1 species